GGAGAUAAUUGUGGAUAAAUUAGCAGCAGGAGUUUCAAAUAAGAGAAUUAUUCAGGAGGCCAGAAGCAUAGACGGCAAAUAAACUACAAAGGAAAAAUUGUAUAACAAGAGGAGAUUUAGAGUACCUAAUACGAAAAUUUAAUAUUGACAAGAAAAGGGACAGUGAUGAUAUGAUAGCCAUAGUGUUAAAAAUUCAGGAAUGGAACAGUGAUGGAAAAAAUCAUGGAUUUUUAUUUAAACAGAUAGGAGAAACUUAUCCAGGAUUAGAAGAAGAUGAUUUUACAGUUGGAUAUAUGAAUGCUAUUAUGGAAAAAAAAUUAAGACAUACAUGGAACAAAUAGGAGAAACUGGGACUUGACAAUUGUGUUAAUAAGAGAUGAACAAAAUAUAGGUUUUCCAGUGGCAUUCUUACUAAGUAACAGAUUAGAUCAAUUAAUUCAAGAGGUUUUUUUUAGGGCACUUAAAACUAGAUUAGGGGAAGCAGUUCAAGCUGAAUAUAUAAUGAGUGAUGACGAUCCAAAAUAUUACAAUGCAUGGAUAAUGGCUAUGGAUGCAGAACAUAAACCAAGAAGAUUACUUUGUAUCUGGCAUAUAGUGAAAAAUUGGAACAUAUAAGGAAGGUCUAAAAUCAAGAAGUUGGAAAACAGACAGAUAAUGAAACAUGAAAUUAGGAAAAUUUUAAAGGAGACUGAUCCACAAAAAUGUAUACAGCUGAAAGAGAACUAUUUUAGGCAAUUAGA